UACAGAGGGGGCAAGCGUUGUUCGGAAUUACUGGGCGUAAAGAGCUCGUAGGUGGUUUGUCGCGUUUGUCCGUGAAAACUCACAACUCAAUUGUGGGCGUGCGGGCGAUACGGGCAGACUGGAGUACUGCAGGGGAGACUGGAAUUCCUGGUGUAGCGGUGGAAUGCGCAGAUAUCAGGAGGAACACCGGUGGCGAAGGCGGGUCUCUGGGCAGUAACUGACGCUGAGGAGCGAAAGCGUGGGGAGCGAACAGG
rnacentral:rRNA from 1 species